rnacentral:lncRNA from 1 species
AUGCCUGCUCCAGUCUGGUUCCAGAGGAGCAGUAGGCAUGGGAUGAGAGGAGCAGAUGUCUUCAGCUACAGCUGGGAUACUGCCAUGACUGUGAGACGCUACCCCACUGUCUCCCCAGCUCCUGCUCCUUCCAGCACAAGGUCCCACGGGGCUGGCAGGAAGCCUCCAAGCAAUGGGCUCCCAGAGGUGCCAGGCAGUGCCCAGCCACCAGCCCCUCCUGCUCCAGCACAGCUCAGCAGGGAAGAGGAGAAAGGGCUUGAAAAAUCACCAGCCUGUUGUCUCUCCUACAGCCACUCCAGCAACAUGAAGAUGUUUCAGGAGCAUGUCUAUAAGUGCCAGGGUAAAGUGAAGGCUGUGAGUUUCCUCUUACCAAUGGAUAUGUCAUCAUUUGCUGAAAAGCAAGGUUCUCUCAAAAGCCCACAAAAUCAGAGCACAAAACAUCUAAUGACCAUCACUGAAAAGGAUAUGUGA